rnacentral:lncRNA from 1 species
GGAAACACUGUUUUACAGAAGAUGGGUAACAGUAACAUGCUCUUGUAUUAUAGAAGAAGAGAGAUUUCUGAAAGCAUCUAGAUGAAUGAUAAUUGUAGAAGAGAAAGAACGCGACUCUAGACACAGUGGGGUAUCUCCUUAUUGAAAAACAGUUUUUGACUUAAUAGAUGAUCUAACCUUGAAUCUAUGGGGAAGUACGCAUUUAUACAUGUUUUUUGCUUCAAUCUUGUUGCUAGUAGGCUGUUCAAGGAGCGCGCUUCUUACCAUUGCUGCCUGUACUUUGUUGUUCCAGAAGGAGUAAAGAACUAGUUUAAGUUGCUCUACUAUGCUUGGCAUGAAUACUGGUAGUUUAUGUUGCUAAUGUGGCAUGUGGCUUUGUGUAUUGCUUAUAAGGCCUUAAAAUGCAGCUUCUAGUCACCCUUAACAUAACUUGGAAUGGAGUAGAGAGACCAUUGGAGAGUUGGGGAAGCUUAGAAUUCGUCUCUUGAGUUCUCUACAACUUCAACAUAAGACUGAUGAACACUUAAAUGGACUGCUAGCAAUAACAACUUGACAACAUUAAUCGCGCGGGGUAAUACGACAGGUUUAUAAGUAGGAUAGUGUGUAUGCAGACAGUACCCUACCUUCCAAGGUAGAAAGACUUUGCGGUAGACAACUUUAGAAUAUGCAUAAUAUAACGGUUCAAGAAAAAGGAAUUAGUCAUAGUAAAAUACUACAAACAUGACAAAACAUUCUUAGGAAUAGUAACUACAAUAAAAUAGGAUAAUAGUUUAGUACAAGAUCCAAUAAAUCAAAUAAAAGAAACUACAACAGUAUUACUAUCACUAGAGUAUGACAAGAUAAGAUACACCAUACUCAACAACUUACUAACAUUUUAGUAGUCUCUUUCAUAAUUUUCGAUCUAAGGUGAUUCUAGUCGUCUCUUUCAUAAUUUUUGAUCUAAGGUGGACAAACAUAUGAAAGUAGUUUGGUUAACUUGUAUUCGUGCAUAAAGACAAGGAAAGAAGUAUGACAUAUUUUUAAAUGUAAAUUAAUAAUAUCCUUUGAUAGGAUAUAUAGUAUUAGUUAAAUUAGAUGAUCAAUUCUUACUAAUUUAUCUUUUAUUUAUAUUAAGGCACAUUAAGAUAAUUUAUGAAAAAUAUGCUUAAUAAUAUAGGGCAUAUGAAUAAAUAUCAUUAGAAUAGAUAUAAAGUAAUUAUUGAACUCUUGGAAAAAGAUAUAUGUUUUAAUUUUUUUUUGUUUUAGCCCUUUAAGGAUUUUCAUUUUUAUUCUUUCUAGUUGACUUGAACCUACUAUCUUCUGAAGUAGACGCACCCUAUGAUAAAGGGUGUCAUCUGACACUGCUUUGUUGGAGAUUUUACAAAUAUUUUACUAUUACUAGUCUCUCUGCUCCUUAAAAACAAUACACAAAGCCAGCAUGCACAUUAGAAACUUAAACUACUACCAUUCAUGCCAAGGAAGUUAUUUUCAAGCCAGCACAGUAGAUCAUCUUAAAACUAGUUCUUUUCUACCUCAAGAAAGACAAAUUACAGGCAGCAAUAUUAAGAAGCGCGUUCCUUGGACAGCCUAUUAGCAACAAGAUUGAAGCAAAAACAUGUAUAAAUGCAUAGUUUCCCGUAGAUUGAAGGUUUGAUGAGCUAUUUAGCCAAAAAGUGCUUUCAAUUAGGAGAUAUUCUGUGUCUAAGUCGCGUUCUCUCUUCCACAAUUAUCAUUCAUCUAGAUGGAUUCAGAAAUCUGCCUCAGUUCUAUAAUACAAGAGCAUGUUGCUGUUACCCUUCUCUGUCUGCAAGGAACAGUGAGAUAUCAAGUCAAAAUCUUCUUUUCUUCAAUCUGGAGCCAUCAAAUUCUUCUUCAUGCCAAAGUUGUUCAUUCGGUCUAAGAUUACCAUCUUCUUGCUCUUCGACAUUUCUCAUUUACCUAGGUCCUCCUUGCCUCUUGCCAUACUUCCUUCUUUCGUCACUACUUUCACCACUGUGAAGCUCAGGAAAUCUACCAGUGUGUAUUGGCCCAUCAAAGUACACAUCACCAUCAGCCCUCUCCUGAUGAUCUAAAAUCUCAACUCUCGGCCUAUUAGUUCUAGUAAAUACCUGAUCAGGUGGACUUCCUCUGCUAGAAAGAGACGUCGUAUGCCCAUGCUCCUGUACAGCAUCCACAUUCCUCAUAUCAUUCAGACGACGAGCAGUAUAAGAUGGAGAGUCAUGCCUUUGAGGAGCUAUUGCUUCUUCAGUAAAAGAAGUUCGUGAAGAAGACCUCAUUCUAUCUUCCCAGUACAUAACAGGAAACCUGUGCUGAGAUAAAUCUUGAUGACCAUUCAAUCCUUCCGUCAAUCUCCUCAGAGGAAGGGACCAAGUACGGGAUCUAACAGGAGAUUUCGACCAGAUUCGAGGGAAACCACUUCUCUGCAUCGCAGUAAACUUUGUUUUACCCUGAAAGAAAUGACGAUCAGGUCCAUCGUGCAUAGACUGUUGGUGACUAUAUACAGGAUUACUAGUAUCAUCUGGAAAGUCUCUAUUAAACUUCUCACUAUGCCGAAGACCAGCACACACAGAGCCAUCUUCACCAGUGCAUCUGCUUGGGCUGAUAUUCCUGGGAGCGCUAUGAAGCAUUUGAAUGCCCAUCAUGGCAGCAUCUUCUCUUCCAUUGGGGGACAGUCGACGUGCAGGUGGAUUCCGAAAUGAAUGCAUGGCGUCAUUUAAUGGAUUUCUCCUCCUAUUACUAGCAAAGGCACCACCAUCUAGUCUACUAUCAUAGUCGUUACGUUCAUUUGCAGAUUCCCAAACAGCAGCUGUACGAUUAUGUCUAAAGUGAUAAUCAGCUAUACCUCCAUAGCUUUCAAAAUCACACCCAGAAUACCAAUCUCUACGUAAUCUGUGAAACCGGCCCAGCCCCUCCCUCUUCCAUGCAUGAAGUUCCCCCUUGAGCUACCAAAUGAACGGUCCUGAAACCUAUCUCGCACAAAUUUAGGACCAUAACCAUAGAUUCUCGCGGAAACAGAUGCCUCCACUUUAUCACUGGAUACAUUUAGUUCUUUGAGGUCAAAGUUUGCAUUUUUAGUAGCAAUAUCAGAGUACUCAGAUGGAGUAGACAAGUCCCCACCACUCACAGACAAAUCUGAAGUGCAUCCCUGUUGAGGGGCCAAAGGCAUUGGUUCACAUUUCAUUGGUUUUUGCUCAAAUAAUUCCUUAGUCGACAACUCAAUAGACUGCAGAUUCUGCCUCACAACCUCAGUUUUUACAUCAUUAGCCUCAAAUGUUCCAGCUGGAUGAACCGUUCCAGCAUUAGCUUGUACCAAGGUUUCCACAACAAGUUAUGACUCAACAGUUUCACAAGUAGGGGAAUUCAUGUUUCUAUCCAAUGCCCUAUUUUUCAGCAAACUUGAAUUUGGACCAAAACUGUUGGAGUCUACUUUAGCCAAUGAGUUAUACCCUCGUAAAGUAUUACCAAGACUAAGACAAAGCACAUCCCCAGACUUGUGUCGUAGGGCAGGAUGUAUUGAUGAGAUGGGAAAAUUAAAUUCCUACUCACUAGCUCCAACAACUUUUCUUCCCUUUUUGGGCAGUAGCUUCCUCCGCGACAGAAACUUUUGUCGUACCUAUAGCUUCCUGGCCAUAUAAUGAUUGUUUCACUGGAUCGCCAACAUUUCUUGAAGGACCGAAACUAGUAUUAUGAUGGAUAGGCGCAUUGGUCUUGCAUCAUUUUCAUUAGACAAAGAGCAUUCAGGAUGGAUAGGUGCACGGAGAUAGAACAUUGAGGACAACCUCUUCUUAAUAGGAAGAAAACACGAAGACUUACUAGACUGCCGUGCAAGAACUCCAGCAACAGUUUUACAAGUAGGGGAAUUCAUGUUCCUAUUCAAUGCCAGACUUUUCAGCAAACUCGAAUUUGGACCAACACUGUUGGAGUCUACUUUAGCCAAUGACUUCAGUAAUGAGGAGUCAAACCCUUGUAAAGUACUACCAAGACUAUGACGAAGCACAUUUGCAGACUUGUGUUGUAGGGAAGGAUGUGUUGAUGAGAUGGGAAAAUUAAAUUUCUGCUAAAUAGCUCCAACAACUUGCUUUCCUUUAUCACCAUUAGAACCAAUAACAGAAGCAGAACUAAUAGGUGGCUUGCUGCCUAGUGAACUAGAUGUCUUACGUAACAGAUCAAUUUGACUUGCAUCUUCAACAGGAACAACAUCUUUUGUCUUGGAUUCAUUUCCAUUUGAAAAAGACCGUUCAGGAUGGAUAGGUGCAUGAGGAUAGAUCAUAGAGUACCACCUCUUCUUAAUAGGAAGAACAGGCAAAGAGUUACUAGACUGCUGGGCAACAACUCCAGGCUGCAAAUAUGUUGUGAACCGAGUGGGAUAUGUAAGGGCCUAUGGACUAGAAUUGGUGGAGACUAAUUUAGUUGGGAUUAUUGGGCCGAGUAAAAUGUUGGAGUGUUAUUUGGGAUCCCGGCCCAAUUAGCAUUUGGUUAAAAGGGCAAAUGAGUUGGAAAGAAGGGUUUAUGCAUAUUGUGAAACAAAUUGUCAGAUCCUCUCUUCUCUUUCUAGAGUCUAAUGUUCUCAUCCCCAUUCUUAUCUCUAUCGUUAGUUACUUGUUAUUUCAGUAUUUUGCAUUGUAAUUCAAUAGUUGAACUGUUGCCGUUGUAAUUUGGCUAUUAGUAAUUAUAUAAUACUUUAGUAUUUCAGUUGAGAAUUCAGGUUCACUACAAAAUACAUGAUGAAAUAGAGUAAUAUUAAAAAACAAAGCAAGUAUUACACAGUUAGAUCAAUUUUCAAUAGCAAAUAAGAAAUCAGAUUGAGACCUCUUCGUUCCCGGAAACUAGCAUGAUUCCAGAAUCAGCUAAAGCUAAACCUUUUCUUUUCGUCUCGAGACAAUAUCAAUCAAGUCGUAGAACACAACUGAAACCAGAUAUGCCAAAAUAUCAGUACAAUACAAAAGAAGAGAAACAGAACAUUCAUACUGAUUUCACUCUCAGCUGCUCAAUUUAAAAGAAACGAAAUUAGCCUCCCUUACUUUACUCGACUUCGACCCUCUACAACUAGUUUGUUUUAUUGGACUUCUCAGCUGCUCAAUUUAAAAGAGACAGCAGGUUAAAAGAAAUAAUGUUGCAGUUGUGAAGGUACUGGUGCAAUGGUCUAAUCUUCCUCUGGAAGAUGCAACUUGGGAGGACUACCAGUUCCUUAAGGCAAAGUUUCCAGGGUUUGAUUGUUGAUCCUUGAGGUCAAGGAUGAAUUCAUGGGAGCUGGAAUGUUAUGAUCUGAGAAGUCCAAUAAAACAAACUAGUUGUAGAGGGUCGAAGUCGAGUAAGGUAAGGGAGGCUAAUUUCGUUUCUUUUAAAUUGAGCAGCUGAGAUUGAAAUCAGUAUGAAUUUCUGUUUCUCUUCUUUUGUAUUGUACUGAUAUUUUGGCAUAUCUGGUUUCAGUUGUGUUCUACGACUUGAUUGAUAUUGUAUCGAGAUGAAAAAAAAAACUUUAGCUUUAGCUGAUUCUGGAAUCAUGCCAGUUUCCGUGACGGAAGAGGUCUCAAUCUGAUUUCUUAUUUGUUGUUGAAAAUUGGUCUAACUGUGUAAUACUUGCUUUGUUUUUUAAUAUUACUCUAUUUCAUCAUGUGUUUGCAGCCUGGAGUUCUUUCCGGGCAGUCUAGUAACUCUUCAUCUUUUCUUCCUUUUAAGAAGAGGUUGUAUCUUCAUGCACCUAUCCAUCCUGAAUGCUCUUGUUCUUAUGAAAAUGAAUCCAAGACCAAAGAUGUUGUUCCUGUUGAAGAUGCAAGUCAAAUUGAUCUGUUACGUAAGACAUCUAGCUAGUUCACUAGACAGCAAGCCACCUAUUAGUUCUGCUUCUGUUAUUGGUUCUAACGGUGAAAAAGGAAUGUAAGUUGUUGGAGCUAGUGAGCAGGAAUUUAAUUUUCCCAUCUCAUCAAUACAUCCUGCCCUACGACACAAGUCCAUGGAUGUGCUUUGUCUUAGUCUUGGUAGUACUUUUCGAGGGUUUGACUCCUCAGUACUGCAGCCAUUGGCUAAAGUAGACACCAACAGUGUUAGUCCAGGUGGAACAUUUGAGGCUAAUAUUGUAAAAACUGAGGUUGUGAGGCAGAAUCUGCAGUCUAUUGAGUUGUCAACUGAAGAGCCAAUCCAAGAAGUUAGCCUGGAAAUAUCCAUGACAUCAGAUGUGAUUGCUCACCAUUCAGUUGGAAGGAUUUUGCCGGUUCAGGAGAGUUCUUCUUCUUCUUCUACACUGCCAAUGCCUUUGGCCCCUCAAAAAAGGGAUGCACUUUUAGAUUGUCUGUGAGUGGUGGGGAAGCUGAUAUUGCUGCUAACGAUGCUCUAGAUCAGGCAAAUGCUGAUACUGCUGCUAAAAAUGCUAACGUUGACCUCAAAGAACUAAAUGUAUCCAGUGAUAAAGGGGAGGCAUCUUUUUCCGUGAGCAUGAAUAUUGAAGAUCACACGGUAUACAAAAAGACACAAAACAUACAUAAUUUGGUUGCAAGUGGUGAGGGGUCAGCAAAUGAUGGGGAAAAGAUACGUAUAUCAGCUGGUACAGAAGAAGAAUGUUAUGCUUCUGCUUAUGAAUCUGAUGGUUAUCAGGCUUUUGCAGGACAUGUAGACACUGAGAGUGUGGGGUGUGUCAGAGAGGAUGACAUAUACGACGACGGUAAGAUCCGAGAACCAAUGAUGCAGUCAAUUGCACAAGACCCAAUGGCUGAGGGGAUGAAUUCAGGAAAAAAUAAUGAAUCUUCAAGUAAAAAUGUUCAUUCUUCUCUUUGCUUCACUAAUGAAGAAAAAAGUUACAGUAUGCCACUUCAUACCGAGUCUUAUGAUGACUUUGUGAAAGCCUGUGAUGAGAAAGCUGAAAAACUUCAUCAGAAAGACAGUAAUCUGCGAAGUCCAUUAUUAGAUAAAGAGGAAACAACCGGCGGUGAUGAGCAGAGGCCUAUUGGCGCUAUUUAUAAUGUGACAUCUUCUAGUCAUUUCAGUUUACCACGUGCAUCCGAUGUUACAUUUCAGUUUACCAUGUGGAAGAGAGAGGUAUUCUUACAUGGAGGAGGAGAAAUUCUAUCUACAAAGGAAUAGGUGAUUUUUCUUUUAUUUAUUGUUGUUUGGUCUGUAAUUUGUUUUUAUAAUGCUGCUCAACUCUUGACUUUUUAUUACUGUGCUUUUUCCAGAUAUGAAAUCUAUGGUUAUGGUCCUAAAUUUGUGCGAGAUAGGUUUCAGGACCGUUCAUUUGGUAUCUCAAGGGGGAACUUCAUGAAUCAUGCGUGGAAGAGGGAGGGGGUGGGUCCAGUUUCACAGAUUACAUAGAGAUUGGUAUUCUGGGUGUGAUUUCGAAAGCUAUGGAGGUCUAGCUUAUUAUCGCUUCAGACAUAAACGUAAUGACCAUGAAAGUAGACUAGAUGGUGCUGCCUUUGCUAGUAAUAGGAGUAGGAUUCCAUUAAAUGAUGACUCGCCUUCAUUUAGUUAUCCACCUGCACGUCGACUGUCCCCCAAUGGAAGAGAUGCUGCUGCCAUGAUGGGCAUUCAAAUGAAUAUCAGCCCAAGCAGAUGCACUGGUGAAGAUGGCUCUGAGUACGUUGGUCUUCAGCAUAGUGAGAAGUUUAAUAGAUUCUUUCCAGCUGUUUAUAGUCAUCAGCAAUCUAUGUACGACGAUGGACCUGAUCGUCAUUUCGUUCAGGGUAAUACAAAGUUUACCGAAAUCAAGAGAAGCUGUUUCCCUCAAAUGCAGUCUAAAUCUCCUAUUAGAUCCCGUACUUGAUCCUCUCAUCGGAGGAGAUUGAUGGAAGGAUUCAAUGGUCAUCAAGAUUCAUCUCAGCACAGGUCUCCAGUUAUGUACAGGGAAGAUAGAAUGAGGUCUGAAGAAGCAAUAUCCCCUCAAAGGCGUGACUCUCCAUCUUAUAUAUAGUGCUCGUCGUCUGAAUGAUAAUAGGGAUGUGAAUGCUGUACAGGAGCACGGGCAUCCGAGGUCUCUUUCUAGCAGAGGAAGUCCACCUGAUCAGGUAUUUACUAGAACCACUAGGAGAGUUGAGAUUUAGAUCAUUAGGAGAGGGCUGAUGGUAGAUGUCCUGAACUUCACAGUGGUGAAAGUACUGACGAAUGAAGGAAGUAUGGCAAGGGGAGAGGAGAACCUAUGCAAAUGAGAAACGUCGAUGAGAAAGAAGGUGGUAAUUUUAGACAGAAUGAACAACUUUGGCAUGAAGAAGAAUUUGAUGUCUCCAGAUUGAAGAAAAGAAGAUUUUGACUUGAUAGCUCACUGAACCUGUAAUAUUAGCAGUUUCCAUGGGAAACAGUACUGUUUUAUAGACUUAUGUGUGGCUUAGAUAAGAUGAAAUUAAGAACUUACAAGUAAUAUUUGUAUAUAAUAUGUUUUGAAACAUAACACCUUGUAUUAUUGCAUCAACGAAUUACGUAGUUUAAACAUAUCUUUAGCAUCCUGUAUGAUCAAAUCUCUCAAUAGAUUUCCUUUAACAAUAAGAUCGAAAAUCUAGCUAAAUUACCAGCUAUUAUGUUCAAACACCUAGGAAUAUAUAUAAAUUUGACAUGAUUGAACAUGCUUGAAAGCUUUUAAAUGUCUUCAUACAUCACUUUAUCUCUCAUGAAGUAGUCACUCAUUUCUGAAUCAUAUCAACAACAUUUUUAGCAUUAGAUAAAAUCUUCACUAACUUCCGUCCCUUGCUGAUAGCAUAUUUAAGAGCUUUCCUACUAGCAAUCGCUUCAACAGUCAUGACUUAUUCAGGAAAAGAGUUAGCAUUUAAAAACAAGUCCAAUAGGACAUUGCUUUCACACAAGUUGAGACUGAAGACAUUUAAAUAACAUAUGUUCUAUAUCUUUAGGUCCAAGACCACAAAUUCUACAAGUAUUAUCCACAUUGUUUAGUCUUUUUGCUAAAUUACUAUGGAUGAGAAAAGAGCUAAGCACAGAUUUUCUUAAAAACAUAUUUAAGAUUAUUUUUAACUCCCAACUUCCAUAGGAAGUCCCAAAAACGUUUAGGAAAAGAGUGACAACUCGCUUGAGCUUCCGAAUUUUUCACUGUCCCAAAAACUUCAUAUAUAGUUUCAUGUUAUUGUAUGGUGUCAUAUUAAUCUAUCAUUAGAACCUGUAAUAGAAACUGGGAUGGACAACACAACAUCGACUUCUUUAGCUUUAAAAAUCGAAUGUAGCUCCUGUAUUUUUUAUGUGUGCAUAUUCUCAUCAAUUAAAUCGGAAAUCACAAAAUCUAAAUUUGAUAUCCAAGGAUCUAUCCAAACACUAAUAUUUUUCCAUAAGAAAUCCUCCACCUUAAUCCUUUAGUCAAAAGAUCUGUUCCUCACAAAAUUCCCUUCCAUAUCCAUGAUCUAGAAGAUGAUGUUGAAUCUUUAAGAAAGGUUGAGUUUGGACAUCAGAGUAUAUAUAUAUUUUGAUGGUAUCAAGCAGUAAACGUGAAUUAGUUGUUAAAAAUAGGGGUAUGAAAGUAAAGGGUAGCCGUUUGUAAACAGUUUUUCUUUUUGGGUACAAGUGUUCUCCCCCCCCCCCCCCCCCUUCUCCCCCCCCCCUCCCCCCCUCCCUAAAAAAAGGAACAAUUAAAUAGCACACACUUUACACUGCUUUUCUUAUCGAUUGCUAUGUUUUUUUCAUUGUUUUCUCUUUCUUUCACUUGGGUUUGAUGCACUUGAGCCAAAGAUCUUUCGUAGAUAUAUUAGGUUGGAUCUAAUUUGGGUAAAUACUUUACCUAAUAGAUCCAAUUUGUGUAGUUUUCCAUUUGUUUUGGCUUAGGUGGUUGCAGGGUGCUACUAGCUAGAGAAGUGUGAUUUAUUGACUAAUGUUUAAGUUGUGUUCCUACGACUUGAUUGAUAUCGUUUCGAGAUGAAAAAUAAAGCUUUAGCUUUAGCUGAUUCUGGAAUCAUGCCAGUUUCCGGGAAUGAAGAGGUCUCGAUCUGAUUUCUUAUUUGUUGUUGAAAAUUGGUCUAACUGUGUAAUACUUGCUUUGUUUUUUAAUAUUACUCUAUUUCAUCAUGUAUUUGCAGACUGGAGUUCUUUCCCGGCAGUCUAAUAAGAGGUUGUAUCUUCGUGCACCUAUCCAUCCUGAAUACUCUUUUACUAAUCAAAAUGAAUCCAAGAUCAAAGAUUUUAAGACCGAGGACAUUUGAAUAACAUAUGUUCUAUAUCUUCAGGUCCAAAGUAGUAAGUAACCUGAUUUAGCUUCAUAGUUUUUAGUUGUUGUAUAGUGCUAUAUUAACCUAUCAUUAUAACCUAUAAUAGAAAUCGGGAUAGACAAUAUAGCAUCGACAUCUUAAGCUUAAAAAAACGUAUUUAACUCUUGUUAUUUUCAUGUGUGAAUUUUUGUUGGGUUUUAAAAAGUGUGAACGGAAAAUGAAGAGUUAUGACUUUUAUAAGGAGUUGUGACUUUCCGAAUAGUUGUGACUUUUAUGAAGAGUAGUGAUUUUUCUGAAGAGUUGUGACAUUUCUGAAAAGGAGUGACUUUUCAAUAGAGUUGUGAUUUUCUCAAAGGGUUGUGAUAUUUCCAAAGGGUUGUGAUCUUUCUGAUAAGGCAUAAUAAACACCCAUUCACACUACCCUUUGUUGUCUAUAAAUAGAGGGGUUUUCUCUUAUUUUUCAACCACGAAUUUCUAGACUUCUUCUUCUUCUACUACUAAAUCUAGUAUUCUAAGUGUACUUUAUUGCCGUUGAGUGGUUCACUGACACCGUGAUUUUAGGUACCGAUACACCGAUGAGUAAGAUCGUUCUAUCUUGGGAGGAUAUAUUUCAUUAACCUAGGGUACUUGAGGGGAAUAAUUUCCUUAAGGACACAUUGUGCAUUCAGUGGGAUUGAUUUUUUUUCUUUGAGAAAAAUGUUUUGUAUAUUAUUUCUAAUCUUUAAGUUUUGUUGUUUCUUACCAAGUUCUCAAAAUGCAUAUUUCUUUUCUCCUUUAUUUCUCCCCACCAGUAAUUUGAAAAGAGGGAUGUAAAUUCCUUAUACAGUCCAUCACGGAGUUGGAAACAAGACAAAGCAUAUGUAAGGAUCGCUGCUAGUACAAACUUAAGCACAAUCUCUUUUCCCGCAAUACUUGAAAAAUUUAGCCUUCCAUCCUUUUAUUUUGUCUUGACUCUCUCCUUUAUAAACUCUAGCAUCUUUUCUUGAAACGUCCCACAACAGCCAGGAAACACAAAUACAAAGCCAUGUCAUUUAUUUAUCGUUGUCCAAGCAACAACGAUAUCUCAACUUUCUCCUCUCUGACAUUUUUACUAAAACAAAUAGCUUAUUUAUCUAGAUUAACCACUUAUCCAGAGCUUCAAUUAUGUUAGAGAAUCAUAAAGUUAUAUGUUUCCUUGUAUAUAAUAUUCUAGUUGAUUCUUAGGGAUUUAUAUAUUUAGUUACCUUAGUUAGUCUUUUCUUUACCUGUAUUUAAAUCAUUGUCUUCUUUGGAUAAUACACAUUGAAAUUACUCCAUACUUUCGUUUCAACAUGGUAUCAGAGCCAAGCUUGCAGCUUCAGUUGCGUUAGCCUUGCCUAGUCGGAGUUGAGUCAUCUCCAUAGUCACGAGGCAAUGUUGCUUAACUAGAAGUUAAGAGUGCUGGUGACUGUUUCAUUAAAAUUAACCUCGCGAGUCUCACGUUCCAGUGCCUCCAUUUAGUUCACAGUUUUCCGGCAAGUGCGUGAGGGCAAGUGGUAUAUUUGUGAUUGAGUUUGCUUUAUGUCGAUCUUCCUUUUCUGACAUCUGUUGUUAUUUUCAGUCAAGAUCUAUUGGUGCUUGUUGAACAGACCACCAUCUGAGAAGAACACACUUGUUUCUGGCUAAAAGAAUCUGGAUAUUGCCUCACUCUUUCUUCCAGCCUGCAUAUGGAGUUCCAUAAUUUGUUAUCUGGUGCUUCCAUCUUUAUUGUGCAGUUUGUGUCUGCUUGAAGUUUCUGCCAGACAUUGUGAAAGGACCAAGUUUUGUUCCAUUGGUCAAAGAUCUGCAUUUGACUUUUAUUACGUCCAGGUUCUAUUUGCUCUCUUUUAAGAAGUUUCAUUACUAAAUUUGUUUUCGUUUGGAAAAUAUUUGUUGGGGAUUAGUGUUGCUGCUACUUGAAAAGUAGAAUGGCUAAUAAGAGAAUGAGUUUUGCUGCUACUGACAAUUCAUCUUUUGAUAAAAUGAUUUCGAUUCCCACACAUGAGUUUGCAAAAUUAUCUCAAUAUCCAGAAUCAUUGAAGAAAUUCACUUCAGCUACUGCGUUUGUUAAGCCAGAUGAAACAUGUCUUAUCACCUCUUCAAAUAAAUGGGUAAUUGAUUCAGGUGCCACAAAUCAGAUGACUGGUAAUUCUAAUAUUUUUUCUAGCUUUCCAUCACACAAAGCUCCCUCUCCAGUCACUGUAGCUGAUGGGUCUACUUGUACUAGUGUUGGAUUUGGAACUGUUAGGCCAACCUCUUCUAUUCUCUGUCAUCUGUGUUAAGUCUACCAAAAUUGGCUUUUAAUUUGAUCUCUGUUAGUAAACUUACCAGAGACCUUAAUUGUUAUAUAUCAUUCUUUCCGAUCAUUGCCUGUUUUGUGAUCUUAAGACAAAUCAGGUUAUUGGUAAAGACAUGUAUCUAAUGAUCUUUACAUCCUUGAUGAGUGGGAGUCUCAGUCUGUUGUUUGCUCUAGUGUCGUGUCUCCAUAUGAUGCACAUUAUCGAUUGGGACAUCCUUAUCUACCUCUAUUAAAGAAGCCGUGUCCUCAAUUUCAGAAUAUUUCUUCAUUGGAAUGUGAAUCUUGUUGAUUUGCAAAACAUCAUCGCACAUCAUUAAGUCCAAGUGUAAAUAAGCGGGCUGGGUAAGCUUUUGAGUUAAUUCAUUUUGAUGUUUGGGGACCAUGUCCUAUCAUUUCUAAACCUGGGCAUAAGUACUUUAUUACUUUUGUGGAUGAUUUCUCUCGGAAGACUUGAAUUUACUUUAUGAAGAGUUGCUCAGAAGUGUUUACUCACUUUUGUGCACUUUGUGCUGAAGUCAAAACUCAAUUCAAUGCUUCAGUACGUAUUCUAAGAAAUGACAAUGCUAAAGAAUAUGUGUCAGAAAUAUUCCAGUUAUAUAUGAGACACAUGACAUUCUUCAUCAAUCUUCUUGUGUUGAUACACCCGCUCAAAAUGGAGUUGCUGAGAGAAAGAAUAGACAUUUACUCGAGACAGCUCGAGCACUUAUAUUCCAAAUGAAGGUUCCUAAACAGUUUUGGGCUGACGCAGUCUCUACGGCUUGCUUUCUUAUUAAUCGCAUGCCGUCUACUGUGCUUGCUGGUAAUAUGCCUUAUAGUGUUCUCUUUCCAAACAAGCCACUUUUUCCAGUGGAACCUAAGGUAUUUGGAUGCACAUGUUAUGUUCGAGAUGUUCGACCAUUUGUUACCAUGUUGGAUCUCAAGGCAUUGAAGUGCGUUUUUCUAGGUUAUUCUCGCCUCCAAAAGGGGUAUCGGUGUUAUUCUACUGAACUUGGGCAGAUAUUUGGUGUCAAUUGAUAUGGCAUUUUCAGAGUCUACACCAUUCUUCUAUGCACCUCCAAUUUCUACAAGUCAGGAGGAGGAAGAUGAGUGGUUAGUCUAUCAGGUUACCCGUGUAUUCUGGGCGUGAUUUUGAAAGCUAUGGAGGUGCAGCUGAUUAUCCCUUUAGACAUAAACGUACAGCUCCUGCUUUGGAUACUGCAAAUGAACAUAAUGACUAUGAUGGUGCUGCCUUUGGUACUAAUAGGAAAAGGAAGCCAUUAAAUGAUGACUUGCCUUCAUUACGGCAUCCACCUGCACGUCGACAGUCCCCCAGUGAAAGAGAAGAUGUUGCCAUGAUGGGGACUCAAAUGCUUCGUAGAGCUCCCAGGAAUAUCCUGGUGAAGAUGGCUUUGCGUAUGUUGAUGUUCGGCAUAGUGAGAAGUUUAAUAGAGACUUUCCAGCUGAUAGUCACCAGCAGUCUAUGUACGAUGGACCUGAUAGUCAUUUUGCUCAGGGUGAUACAGAGUUUACUGCGAUGCAGAGAAUCGGUUUCCCUCGAAUGUGGUCGAAAUCACCUGUUAGAUCCCGUACUUGGUCCCUUCCUCCCAGGAGACUGACAGAAGGAUUGAAUGGUCGUCAAGAUUUAUCUCAGCACAGGUCUCCGACUAUGUACAUGGAAGAUAGAAUGAGGUCUUCCUCACAAACUUCUUUUAUUGAAGAAUCAAUAGCUCCUCAAAGGCGCGACGCUCCAUCUUAUACUUCUUGCCAUCCGAAUGAUAUGAGGGAUGUGGAUGGUGUACAGGAGUACGGGCAUCCAAGGUCUCUUUUUAGCAGAAGAAGUCCACCUGAUCAGGUAUUUACUAGAACCAACAGGCUGAGAGUUGAGAUUUUAGAUCAUCAUGCGAGGGCUGAUGGUGUUGGGUACUUUGAUGGGCCGAUACACACUGGCAGUGGCGAAAGAAGUAAGUAUGGUGAGAGGCAAGGAGGACCUAGGCAAAUUAGAAAUGUGAAAGAGCAAGAAGGGGGUAAUCUUAGAUGGAGGCAUGGAGAAGAAUUUGAUGGCUCCAGACUGAAGAAAAGAAGAUUUUGAGUUGAUAGCUCGCUGAACCUGUAAUAUUAGCAAUUGGCAUGGGUAAGAGCAACAUGCUCUUUGUUAAAUUAGGUCUGAGGCCUAACUCACACCCCAAAAGCUAGCUCAAAGGGAGGAGGAUUGCCCAAGCCUUAUAAGGAGUCCACCAUCUCAUUAACCACCGAUGUGGGACUUUUGUCAUUCUUUAACACUCUUGUAUCAUAGAAGUAGACAGAUUUCUGAACCCAUCUAGAUGAAUGAUAGUUGUCGAAGAGAAAGAAUGUGACUUAAACCUUAAAUUUAUAUGGGGAACUAUGCAUUUAUACAUGUUUUUGCUUCAAUCCUGUUGGCAAUAAGCUGUCCAACAAUCACACUUCUUAAUUUGUCUUUAAGAAGAGGUUGUCCUCUAUUUUUGAUGUCUACAAAUGUUCUGUACUUCAUGGCUUGUUGGAGAUUAGACUUGAUGAAACUCAAACACGAGACUUGAAGCUUCUAUCUUUGCAGUUUUAUGACUUUUUUAGAUUUGCAAAUCUGAUUUGUGAGUGAAGAAAUGAAGGGUAGAUUUGGUCUAGGCAUGGCAAAUCUUAAUGUAUGGAAAUAAAAUCUAACCACAAACAAAUAUAAAGAAACAAGAACAGUUUGUUAAUAAAUAGUGCAGGUAUAAUUUUGUUCUUCCCUUAAUUUUUUUCUCUGAAUUUUCGUUGUGAUUCGAGGAUUGUUAGUAGCGCAUUCUCGAAUAUAGAAUGAUUUUGACCUCUUUGAUCAUUAUCACUUUGUGAAUAUUCCAUUAAUUUUUGAGAUAUUUUAAGAUGCCUUUUCACGGGAUACAUUACCUUUUAUAUAAGCAUGUACUAGGGUUUAUGGUAGAUCUAGUAGCCUCCAAAAAUUCUAACUAAAUUGGACUUGUCUUUUAGAGUACGAAAUUUUGAUCUCUAUAAAUGUCCCCUACUUAAAGGCUUAUCAAAGUGUAGACUUGAUGAAACUCAAUGACAAGACUUGAAGUACCCAUAAAAAAUGAACCUUCCAUCUUUGCGAGUUUGUGGCUUCAGAUUCGCAGAGCUGAUUUGUGAGAUAAGGGAUGACAGAUAGAUUUGGUCCCAUGAAGUGUGUCAAUUUGUUUGCAACAAAUUUUGAAGUGCUAGAAAAUAAAUUGCAAUUAUAAAUGAAAUACGAAGAAACAUAUUUUUUCUAAUAAGCAAUGUGGGUACAAAUUUGUUUCUACCUUGAUUCUUCUCUCUGGAUUUUCUCUGUAGUUCGAGGGCUAUUAGUAGCGUAUCCUUGAAUAUAAGAUGAUUUGAACCACGUGGGAUUUAUUUGAUAUCCAUGUAAAAAAGAUUUUGUGGAUCUUCAUGAAGUAUUUGGUUGUCAAGAAUAGCUAGUUCGUUCACAUCUUUAUCUCUAUGUGAAUAUUCGAGAUGCCUCUUCAAUGAAAUACAGUAACCCUUUCUGUUGGCGUGAUCUAGGAUGUAGGGUAGAAUAACCUUCAAGAAUCCUAAGUGAAAUUGAACUCGUCUUGUAAAAUCCCAUAAAUUUUGUAUGUCUACAUAAAGUAUUUGAGGAGGAGCAUUUUAGAUAAGACAAAGUUAAUGUGUCCUAUCGAAUUGUUAGCUCCAUACAAAUUGUUGGAAUGUACCAUGAGCUAAAUGAUCAUUGCUAAAAAGGACUAUCAGACUAACCCUAAAAACUAAUUAUCACUCGAGAAUUCACUUUUUUAUUUGUAAAAAUAAUUCUUGAUGAUAAAUUAGAAAAUAAUCUCUUCCAGAUUUUCUAUAUAUGGAUGUUUGUGUUGAUACAAAUUUAUAUAUAAUAAGUUUGGUUAUAUCCUUACCAUUCACCUCAUUAAUAUCUAAAGGGGAACAUUUGAGGAGAGCAUCAUAGAUAAGAUGAAAUUAAGAAUUUGUCAUUAUUGGCUUCAUGCACAUUGUGUAAUGGACCAUGAACUAAUUAAAUGGUCAUUGCAAAAUAAAAAUGUUCGACUAGUUCCUAUAAAAUAACAUCAUUCAAGAAAUUGCCUCGUUUUCUAGCUUUCGUAAAAUUAACUAGACAUAAAUUUGGGAGCAUUCUCUUCUUCCAAAUUCUUUACAUAUGUAUAUUUAUUAACAUUAUACAUUCUUCUUUUGUUAGAAUGACUAACAACAAUAAGAACAACGAAAUCAGUGAAAUUUCACCUGGUGGGGUCUGAAGAAGGUAAAGUGUACACAACUUAUCACUAUCUUGUGGAGUGGAGGUAGACAUGCUAUUUCCGAAAGACCUUUUGCUCAAGUGCAUUAAACCCAAGUGAAAGAAGGAGAAAACAAUGAAAAAACAUAGCAAUCGAUAAGAAAAACAGUGUAAAUUGUACAAGAAAGAACAAUAACAACAACAAAAUAGUGUGUCAUAGUCUAGAAGUACCCCCCUACACUAUGACCCAAAUCUUAGAGACACACCUUAACUAAUUAAGGUCCUAUUACCCCUUUGAACUCAUUUUUUUUUUUGUAAUUUUGUACACCUUUUUGGCUUACGUGGCAUCCAAGUAUCUCCUACGCACCUCAAUUGCGUGGAGUCACAGAGUGUGCCAUGUAGGCCAAAAGGUGCACAAAAUUAUAUAUAAAAUGAGUUCGGGGGGGUGGGGGUGGUAAUAGGACCUUAGUUUAGUUAAUGUGUGUCUCUGGGAUUUCGGUCAUAGUCUAGGGGGGUACUUAUGCCUUCUCCCUUUUUUUUUGGAAAAGAACACUUGUACCCAAAUGGAGAAAUUGAGUACGUACAAUCGGCUACCCUUUACUUUCACACCCUUGUUUUUAACUAUUAAUUCAUGUUUACUGCUUGAUACCAUCAACGUAUAUAUAUACUUUGAUGAUAUAAAAGAGGAAGAAAUAGUGCUUCAGUGAACCUAGUUAGUCUCUCCUUGAUACCAUUAGAAUAUAUAUGCAUCAAGGAGGAAGACGUAGUGUUUCAGCAGUAAAAACUGUUCAAUUACUGCUUGAUACUAUCAGAGUGUAUAGACAUCAUCAAAGUGUAUAUAUAUACUCCGAUGGUAUCAACAGUGGUUCUUAAAUAUAUUAGGUUGGAUCUAAUUUGGGUAAAUACUUUACCUAAUAGAUCCAAUUUGUGUAGUUUUUCAUUUUUUUUAGCUUAUCUGGUUGGAGGGUGCUACUAGCUAGAGGAGUGUGUUCUAUUGAUUAGUGUUUCAUUUGUUGUUCCUAUGACUUGAUUGAUAUCGUUUCGAGAUGAAAAAUAAAACUUUAGCUUUAGCUAAUUCUGGAAUCAUGCCAGUUUUCGGGAAUGAAGAGGUCUCGGUCUGAUUUCUUAUUUGCUAUUGAAAAUUGGUCUAACCGUGUAAUACUUGCUUUGUAUUUAAUUAUUACUCUAUUUCAUCAUGUAUUUGCACCCUGAAGUUCUGGCCCAGCAGUCUAGUAACUCUUCGUCUCUUCUUCCUAUUAAGAAGAGGUUGCAUCUUCGUGCACCUAUCCAUCAUGAGUACUCUUUUUUUGAUGAAAAUGAAUUCAAGACCGAAGAUGUUGAGACCGAGGACAUUUGAAUAACAUAUGUUUUAUAUCUUUAGGUCCAAAGUAGUAAGUAACCUGAUUUAACUUCAUAGUUUCCUGUUAUUUUAUGGUGCCGUAUUAACCAUUAACCAAUCAUUAUAACUUGUAAUAGAAAUCGGGAUAGAUAAUAUAGCAUCAACAUCUUUUGCUUCAAAAAUUGUAUUUAACUCUUGUAUUUUUCAUGUGCGAAUAUUUGUUGAGUUUUUAAAGGUGUGAAUGGAAAAUGAAGAGUUGUGACUUUUUCGAAGAGUUGUGACUUUUAUGAAAAGUUGUGACUUUUACGAAGAGUUGUGACUUUUCUGAGGAGUUGUGACUUUCUGAAAAGUUGUGAGUUUUCCGUAGAGUUGUGAUUUUUCCAAAGGAUUGUGACUUUUCUGAUAAGACACAAUAAGUACCCAUUCACACUACCCUUUGUUGUUUAUAAAUAGAGGGGUUUUCUCUUAUUUUUGAACAACAAAUUUCUAGACUUCUUCUACUAAAUCUAGUAUUCUAAGUGUAUUUUACUAACGUUGAGUGGUUCGCUAAUAUCGUGAUUUUAGGUACUGAUACACCGUUGAGUAAGAUCGUUCUAUCUCGGGACUAUAUAUUACAUUAGCCUCGGGUAUUUGAGGGGAAUAAUUUACUUAAGGACAUACUAUGCAUUCAUUGGACUCAAUUUUCUUAUUUGAGAAAAAUAUUUUGUAUAUUAUUUCUAUUCUGUUUCAAGUUCUAUUUCUUUACUGGUUCUAAGUUUCUAGCUUUGAAAAUACUCUUUAAACUCUGUUGUUUCUUACCAAGUUCUCAAAAUGCAUCUUUCUUUUCUCCUUUAUUUGUCCCCACUGGUAGUUUGAAUAGAGGGAUGUAAGUUCCUUAUACUGACCAUCACGGAGUUGGAAACAAGACAAAGCAUACGUAGGGAUCACUGCUAGUACAGACUUAAGCACAAUCUCUUUUCCCGCAAUACUUGAAAAAUUUAGCCUUCCAUCCUUUUAUUUUUGUCUUGAUUCUCUCCUUUAUAAACUCUAGCUUCUUUUCUUGAAACGUCCCACAAAAGCCGGUAAACACAAAUACAUAGCCAUGUCAUUUAUUUAUCGUUGUCCAAGCAACAAUGAUAUCUCAACUUUUUCCUCCUCUCUCACAUUUCUACUAAAACAUAUUGCUGAUUUAUCUAGAUUAACCACUUUCCUAGAGCUUCGAUCAUAUUUCCUUAAAAUAUUUGCUACAUAACUUGCAUUUUGGUUAUUUGUUGUUCAAAAUAUAAAGGAGUCAUCGACAAAAAAUAAAUGAAUUAUGCUUAGCCCCGGGAUUUCAUUUCUUAUAUAAGCAUCAUAGAGAAGACAAAAUUAAUAUUUGCUAGAAAAGACUUAUCUGGAUAAUUAAUUAAUGUUCAAUGAUAAAUUUGGUAAGAAUAUCUUUAAGAUUCUCUACAAACCCUAACUAGGAUUUAUAUAUAAGAUAAGAAUAAUUAUCUAACAUUAUACUAAAAGGAAACAUCAAACAUAAUUCAGCAAGUAAAGCCUCUUCUCCCCUUUUUUGUCUAUGUUUUUUUUCACACAUUUUUUGCUCAUUCAAUACUCCUUUUGCUGUUCAAGAACAGAGAAAAAAGUUCUCAUUUGAUUCCUAUAUAUAUAUAUAUAUAUGUGCGCCCGCGCACACGUAUGCCGUUUUAUUGUUCCUUUUUAUUUGGGGUGUUUUUGAUGUUUUGUUUCAGGUUAAGUUUUGUUUUUUGUUCUUGAAUUUUUACCUGGUAUAUGAUUUGAUGAGUGAUAAAUAUUGAUUUUGUUGUUACCUGAUAUAGGAUCUAUAUAUGUUCAAUUAAUCAAUCAACUAUGCCUCAAUCCGAACCUAGUUGAAUUUACUGGUAAUGUUAGGAUUUUCUGUCUAUUUUGCAGAAUUCUGAUGAUUUUCUCUGAUUUUCCAGUAAUUUAGAUCAAGUGUUUUGAGGUUUGAUACGUGUUAGUUGUUAAUAGUAAAUUAGUCUGUUUGAUUUGUUUAUCAUCGGAUGGUUGUUACUCAUUAGCCAUUGUAUUGUACUGCAUGUUAGAUGCAAUAUUUGUUUUACUUCUUUUAUCUUUUGUUUUUUGCGAGUAUGAAUGUUCUGUUUCUCUUCUUUUGUAUUGUAUUUGAUAUUUUCCCAUAUCUGGUUGCAGGGUGCUACUAGAGGAGUUUGAUCUUGUGUUUGAGUUGUGCUCUACGACUUGGUUGUGCUUGAUUGAUAUCAGCUUUAGUUUUAGCUGAUUCUGGAAUCAUGCCAGUUUCCAAGAACGAAGAGGUCUCAGUCUGAUUUCUUAUUUGCUAUUGAAAACCGGUCUAACUGUAUAAUACUUGCUUAGUUUUUUAAUAUUACUCUAUUUCAUCAUGUAUUGGCAGCCUGGAAUUGUUGUUCGGAAUUCGAGUAUUUCUUCGUCUCUUCUUCCUUAUAAGAAGAGGUACUCUGUGCUCUAUCCAGAUGCACCUAUCCAUCCUUCAAGAGAUGUUGAUCCUGGAGUCAUGCCAGUUUCAGGGAACGAGGAGGUCUCAAUCUGAUCUCUUAUUUGCUGUUGAAAAUUGGUCUAAAUGUGUAAUAUUUGCUUUGUUUUUUAAUAUUACUCUAUUUCAUCAUGUAUUUGCAGCCUGGAGUUGUUGCCCGGCAGUCUAGUAUUUCUUCGUCUCUUCUUCCUUAUAAGAAGAGGUACUGUUUGCUCUAUCCUCAUGAAACUAUCCAUCCUUCAAGAAAUGUUGAGGAUCUAGUGAAACCAGCAUUGGCUGAAAAAUUAGCUGUCAAGAAGGAAGUUGUUUCCAAACAAGGGGAUUCAAGGCACAUUGAACUGCCAUUAGGCCCAAAGAAGGUGGUAAUCUUAGACGGAGGCAUGAAGAAGAAUUUGAUGGCUUCAGAUUGAAGAAAAGAAGAUUUUGAGUUGAUAGCUCACUGAACCUGUAAUAUUAGCAAUUGGCAUGGGUAGGAGCAACAUGCUCUUGUAUCAUAGAAGUAGACAGAUUUUUGAACCCAUCUAGAUGAAUGAUAAUUGUCGAAGAGAAACAACGCGACUUAGACACAAAAUAUCUCCUUAUUGAAAGCACUUUUUGGCUUAAUAGCUCAUCAAAGCUUGAAUUUAUUGGGAACUAUGCAUUUAUACAUGUUUUUGCUUCAAUAAAAUAACUUCCUUAGUUUAAGUUGCUAAUGUGCAUGCUGGCUUUGUGAUUGUUAUUGUCUAUAUUUUUUUCACUCAUUUUUUUGGUCAUUUAAUACUCUUUGCUGUCUAAGAAAAGAGAAAAAGUUUCUCAUUUGUUUCCUACAUCUAUAUAUUGUGUGCUAUUUAAUUGUUUCUUUUUCUGGGGUGUUAUAUCUGUGUGCUAUUUAAUUGUUACUUUUUGAAGGGUGUUUUUGAUAGUUUUUUUUCAGGUAAUGUUUUUUCAUUUUUUUAUUCUUUGAUUGUCAAACUAAUAAAAAAGAAUAUCUACCACUCCAGAAAUCUCCCCCUUUUUUUAAAUUAGCUUUCUUAAAUUAACCUGAUAAUAAAUUUAGGAGCAAUCUUUUCUUCUAGAUUCUUUACCUAUGCAUAAUUGUUAACAUUAUAAAUCCUUUAUUAGAGUGAUAAAUAAUAUUUGUAUCUAGUAAGUUCGACUCUAUCCUCGUUGCUCACCUUAUUGAUAUACCUCAUUGUAUAUAAUAAGUUCGAAUCUUUUCAAACUCAAUAAUUUUAUUUGUUCUUACUUACUUCAGUCAAAUUGUUUGUGACAUGAGUCUAACUUUGUGUGCAAUAAAUAAAAAUGUCAAGUUUGUGUUGAAUCUAAGUAUACUAAGCAUUCUUAUAAAUUUGUUGAAAGGAAUUUUAACCCCUUGAGUUGAUUUACACUGACAUUUGUGAUAUGAAGUCAACACCAUCUCCUGGUGGGAAAAAAUAUCUCUUAACUUUUAUCGACAAUUGCAUUAGAUACGGUUAUGUCUAUUUCCUGAAUAACAAGGAUGAAGCAAUAGAAACGUCUAGGCAAUAUAAUUUUGAAGUUGAAAAUCAGUUGGAAAAAUGAUAAAAAGUGAUAGGGAUGAAGAGUAUAAAUCUCCUUUUGCAGAAAUAUGUUUGGAAAGUAGGAUUAUCCAUCAAACUAUUGCCAUAUUCACCUCAAUCUAAUGGAGUUGAAGAAUGAAAAAAAACCCGAACUUUGAAAGAAAUGAUGACUGCAUUACUUAUAAGUUCAGGUUUACCACAAAACUUGUGUGGAGAAGCUAUCCUUACAAAGAAAGGGAACAACAAAAAUUUUUGUCUGUUCAGAAAGAAAGCAAUAGAAAGUUGUGUUUGUUCAAGACACAAUCUAUUCCAUAUGAGAAAUGGAAAGGAAUGAAAUCCAACUUGAAAUAUUUAAAGUGUGGGGGUGUCUAGCCAAAGUCCAAGUUCCUAUUCCCAAAAAGAUCAAAGUAGGACCUAAGACUGUGGACUGUAAAAUUAAACUUGAGUAGUCUAGUGAAGGGUCUAAAAGACCUUGGAAAGAACCAAAUAAUAUACUUAAUAAAGAGAAUCAUAGGUGCAGUAAAUGUCAAAGGACAUCUACUUCCUUCAGAUCUGAUUUUGUAACAUUUCCUAUGUCUUAUGUGGGCUUAUCCUUUUGAAAAGAUGGUGUCAAUAGUGAAAUUGAUUCAAUCUUGAGCAAUCAUAUUGGAAGUUGAUUGAUCUUCUUCUAGGAAAUAAACGUUUGGGUUCAAAGCGAAUCUUUAAAAGGAAAAUGAAAGUUGAUGGGACUAUUGACAGAUAUAAGGCUAGACUUGUAGUCAAAGGAUAGAGACAAAAGGAAGGUCUCGAUUACUUUGAUACAUACUCUCCAGUAACAGGGAUAACAUCUAUUAUGGUGUUAAUAGCACUAGCUGUCGUGCAUGAUCUUGAGAUCUAUCAAAUGGAUGUUAAGACAACCUUCUUAAAUGGAGAGUUGGAGGAAGAAAUUUACAUAAAAUAACCCGAGGGGUUUGUUAUUACAGAUAAAAAAAAGAAAGUGUGCAGACUUUUAAGUCACUUUAUGGGCUCAAUCAAGCACCCAAAUAAUGACAUGCUAAAUUUGACCAAACGAUGUUGGCAAAUAGAUUUAAGAUCAAUGAGUGUGAUAAAUGUGUCUACAUUAAAAAUAUUCCAAAUCAUGAAGUCAUUGUUUGUUUGUAUGUUGAUGACAUAUUAAUGAUGAGUAAAAAUAUUGACGAUAUAAAUGCUACUAAGCGCAUGCUGUCCAGCAAGUUUGAUAUGAAGGACUUGGGAAUUGUUAAUUUGAUCUUAGGAAUCAGAAUUCAUAAAACUCCUCGAGGACUAGCAUUAUCUCAAUCUCAUUAUAUUGAAAAAGUAUUGGAUAAGUUCAAGUACUUAAAUUUCAACGAUGUCAAGACUCCAAUUGGUAUAAGUUUUACAUUUCAAAAGAAUGAAGGUGAAAGUGACUCUCAAUUGGACAGUGCCAGAGUGUUGGGAAGUUUGAUGUAUAUUAGGAAUUGUGCACGACCAGAUAUAACAUGUGCUAUUAGCAAGCUGAGUCGGUUCAAUAGUAAUCUUAACCAAACUCACUAGAGGGCAAUGAAACGUGUGUUGGUGAAUCUGAAACAUACCCAACAUUAUGCCUUGCAUUAUAAUAAAUAUCUUACCGUGAUUGAAGGAUAUAGUGAUGCAAAUUGGAUCACCGGGUCAAUUGAAGUAAAAUUUCACAAGUGGAUAUGUAUUUACUCUUAGUGGAGGAGCAGUCUCUUGGAAAUCAUCCAAAUAGACAUGUAUCGCUCGCUCUACAAUAAAAUUUGAGUUUAUCGCUCUAAAUAAGGUUGUUGAAUAAGUUGAAUGGCUCCAAAAAUUCUUGAAAGAUAUUCAUUUUUGGCCCAAACCUUUGGCAUCAAUAUGCAUACACUUUGAUAGUCAAGAUGCAAUAGGUAGGGCAUGGAGCAUGAUGUAAACGAAAAGUCUCAUCAUAUAAGACGUAGACAUAAUACCAUUAGAAAACUACUCUCUAGUGAAAUUAUCACAAUUGACUAUGUAAAGUCAAAGGAUAAUAUGUUAAAUCCUCUAACAAAAGGCCUAGUUAGAGAAACAUUUGAAAGAUUAUUUAAGGGAAUGAGUUUACGGCUUAGGACAAGUCAUCAUGACGGUAACUCUACCUAACAGACUGGAGAUCCCAAGAGCUAGGUUCAAGGAGAAAACAAAGUUGUGACUGACGGUUUGACAUUGUCAACCAACUCAAUCUAUUCUCAUAAUGAAUACAAUGCUCAGGAACAAAGAUAAAACAUUAAGGCUCGUUAACGAGUUAAUAAAGCUUAAAGUUUUUAAUGAUUUGCUAAAUUUGGCAGAUUUGACCAAAUAGUGUAUCUAUGCAAUAACACGUGUUAGAUAUCAAUUAUAUGAGUGUGAAGUGGAAGCCUCUUCAAAGAGAAUCAUUGUAUACAACCUAUUAUCUGUACACUCAUGAAACUAGGAAGUGUUCAUGGAUGAAACGAACACAACUGUAAGAAUCAUAAACAGUAAAGGGUUGAUUGUGUGACAUAUGGUUGUCUAGGUAUACAUUAAAACUCAACAGUUUCAAGGAUAUCACAUCUACCGAUUGAUUGAGUAUAUCCGACGUAUGUUCACUACGAAAAGUUCAAAGGGAAACCUACUUCUCCAGAUGCAAUUAAUUCUUGCUUGUAAAGUAUACACACUUGUCCAUUUCUUUGUCUUUAAGUCUUUCCCCACUCAUGCAGGGGAUUGUUGGGUUUUAAAAUGUGUGAAUGAAAAAUGAAGUAUUGUGAAUUUUAUGAAGAGUUGUGACUUUAAUGAAAAGUUGCGACUUUUAUGAGGAGUUGUGACUUCUAUGAAAAGUUGUGACUUUUUGAAUGGGUUGUGACCUUUCCGGUAAGGAACAAUAAGUACAUGUUCAUAGUACCCUUUGUUGUCUAUAAAUAGAGGAAUUUUAUCUCAUUUUAAGAGAACCAAUUUUCUGAACUUCUUUUUCUACUACUAAAUCUAAUAUUCUAAAUGUAUUUUACUGUCGUUGGGUGGUUUGCUGACACCGUGGUUAUAGGUACCAAUACACCAGUGAGUAAGAUCUUUCUAUCCUGAGAGGAUAUAUUCCAGUAACCUAGGCUACCUGAGGGGAAUAAUUUCCUUAAGGGGACACUAUGCAUUCAGUGGACUCGAUUUUCUUCUUUGAUAAAAAUAUUUUGUAUAUUUUUUCUAAUCUGUUUCUGAUUCUAGUUUCUCUAUUGGUUUUAAUUUUCUAGUUUUGAAAAUACUCUUUAUACUUUGUUGUUUCUUACCAAGUUCUCCAAAGUUUUUAUUCUAAGUAUCUUAGAAAUAUAGGAUGAACAACAAGCCAGUUUCUGGAAAUGGAGAGGUCUCAAUCUCAUUUCUUAUUUGCUGUUGAAAAUUGGUCUAACUGUGUAAUAGUUGCUCUAUUUUUUAAUAUUACUCUACUUCAUCAUGUAUUUGAAGCCUGGAGUUCUGCCCAGCAGUCGAGUAACUGUUCUUCUGUUCUUCCUAUAAAGAAGAGGUUCUAUCUUCGUGCACCUAUCCAUCCUAAAUACUCUUUUACUAAUGAAAAUGAAUACAAGACCAAAGAUCUUGGAUUACAAUGGACAUGUAAGGAGUUAAGUACACAUUUUCUUAAAAAAGCUUAAGAUUAUUUAUAACUCCCAACUUCCAUAGGAAGUCCCAAAAACAUUUUGGAAAAGAGUGACAACUCGCUUAGACUUCAAAUUUUUAACUGUUUCAUGGAUCAAAUUCUUUGCAAAGUAGUUACCUGAUUUAACUUUUAUCGUAUGAUGCCAUAUUACCCUAUCAUUAUAACCUGGAACAGAAAUCAGGAUGGACAAUAUAGCAUCGACAUCUUCAGCUUUAAAAGUCGUAUUUAACUCUUGUAUUUUUCAUGUGUGAAUAUUGUUGGGUUUUAAAAGGUGUGAAUGGAAAAUGAAGAGUUAUGACUUUUAUUAGGAGUUAUGACGAAGAGUUGUGACUAUAUAAAAGGUUGCGACUUUUAUAAAGAGUUGUGACUUUUCUAAAGAGUUGUGAUUGUUGUCUAUAAAUGGAGAGGUUUUCAUUUAUUUUUCAACAACGAAUUUCUAGACUUCUAUUUCUACUACUAAAUCUAGUAUUCUAAGUAUACUUUACUACCGUUGAGUGGUUUGCUAACACCGUGACCGAUACCCCAGAGUAAGAUCGUUCUAUCUUGGGAGGAUAUAUUUCAUUAACCUCGGGUACUUGAGGGGAAUAAUUUCCUUAAGGACACACUGUGCAUUCAGUGGACUCAAUUUUCUUCUUUGAGAAAAAUAUUUUGUAUAUUAUUUCUAAUCUGUUUCAAGUUCUAUUUCUUUACUGGUUUUAAGUUUCUAGUUUUGAAAAAUACUCUUUAAACUUUGUUGUUGCUUACCAAGUUCUCAAAAUGCAUCUUUCUUUUCUCCUUUAUUUGUCCCCACUGGUAGUUUGAAUAGAGGGAUGUAAGUUCCUUAUACUGACCAUCACGGAGUUGGAAACAAGACAAAGCAUACGUAGGGAUCACUGCUAGUACAGACUUAAGCACAAUCUCUUUUCCCGCAAUACUUGAAAAAUUUAGCCUUCCAUCCUUUUAUUUUUGUCUUGACUCUCUCCUUUAUAAACUCUAGCAUCUUUUCUUGAAACGUCCCACAAAAGCCGAUAAACACAAAAUACAUAGCCAUGUCAUUUAUUUAUCGUUGUCCAAGCAACAACGAUAUCUAAACUUUCUUCUCCUCUCUCACAAUUUUACUACAACAUAUUGUUGAUUUAUCUAGAUUAACCACUUUCCUAGAGCUUCAAUCAUAUUUCCUUAAAAUAUUUGCUACAUAACUUGCAUUUUGGUUAUUUGUUGUACAAAAUAUAAAGGAGUCAUCGACAAAAAAUAAAUGAAUUAUGCUUAGCCCUGGGAUUUCAUUUCUUAUAUAAGCAUCACAAAGAAGACAAAAUUAAUAUUUGCUAGAAAAGACUUAUCUGGAUAAUUAAUUAAUGUUCAAUGAUAAAUUUGGUAAGAAUAUCUUUAAGAUUCUCUACAAACCCUAACUAGGAUUUAUAUAUAAGAUAAGAAUAAUUAUCUGACAUUAUACUAAAAGGAAACAUCAAACAUAAUUCAGCAAGUAAAGUCUCUUCUCCCCUUUUUUGUCUAUGUUUUUUUUCACACAUUUUUUGCUCAUUCAAUACUCUUUUUGCUGUUCAAGAACAGAGAAAAAAGUUCUCAUUUGAUUCCUAUAUUAAUAUAUAUGUGUGUGCGCGCAUGUGCGCCGUUUAAUUGUUCCUUUUUAUUUGGGGUGUUUUUGAUGUUUUGUUUCAGGUUAAGUUUUGUUUUUUGUUCUUGAAUUUUUGGAUUUUUACCUGAUAUAUGAUUUGAUGAGUGAUAAAUAUUGGUUUCGUUGUUACCUGAUAUAGGAUCUAUAUAUGUUCAAUUAAUCAAUCAACUAUGCCUCAAUCCGAACCUAGUUGAAUUUACUGGUAAUGUUAGGGUUUCCUGUCUAUUUUGCAGAAUUCUGAUGAUUUUCUCUGAUUUUCCAGUAAUUAAGAUCAAGUGUUUUGAGGUUUGAUACCUGUUAGUUGUUAAUAGUAAAUUAGUCUGUUUGAUUUGUUUAUCAUCGGAUGGUUGUUACUCAUUAGCCAUUGUAUUGUACUACAUUGUUAGAUACAAUAUUUGUUUUACUUCUUUAAUCUUUUUUUUUUUGCGAGUAUUAAUGUUCUGUUUCUCUUCUUUCGUAUUGUAUUUGAUAUUUUCUUAUAUCUGGUUGCAGGGUGCUACUAGAGGAGUGUGAUUUUGUGUUUGAGUUGUGCUCUGCGACUUGGUUGUGCUUGAUUGAUAUCAACUUUAGCUUUAGCUGAUUCUGGAAUCAUGCCAGUUUCCAAGAACGAAGAGGUCUCAGUCUGAUUUCUUAUUUGCUAUUGAAAACCGGUCUAACUGUAUAAUACUUGCUUAGUUUUUUAAUAUUACUCUAUUUCAUCAUGUAUUGGCAGCCUGGAAUUGUUGUUCGGAAUUCGAGUAUUUCUUCAUCUCUUCUUCCUUAUAAGAAGAGGUACUCUGUGCUCUAUCCAGAUGCACCUAUCCAUCCUUCAAGAAAUGUUUAUCCUGGAGUCAUGCCAGUUUCAGGGAACGAAGAGGUCUCAAUCUGAUCUCUUAUUUGCUGUUGAAAAUUGGUCUAAAUGUGUAAUACUAGCUUUGUUUUUUAAUAUUAUUCUAUUUCAUCAUGUAUUUGCAGCCUGGAGUUGUUGCCCGGUAGUCUAGUAUUUCUUCGUCUCUUCUUCCUUAUAAGAAGAGGUACUGUUUGCUCUAUCCUCAUGAAACUAUCCAUCCUUCAAGAAAUGUUGAGGAUCUAGCGAAACUAGCAUUGGCUGAAAAAUUAGCUGUCAAGAAGGAAGUUGUAUCCAAACAAGGGGAUUCAGGGCACAUUGAACUGCCAUUAGGCCCAAAGAAACUUUAUGUUUCUUCUUUGGUUGAUUCAAAUAUUAUGCAAAGUUGUUUGAUGCAUGGAACAGUAAAUCCUUCAUCUUUCUCCGUCUUUGAUUAACAAUGAUACUGAUGUUACUGCACGCACUAAUAGAUUUAAUUGGGAUGAUUUGUUUGCUAGUGGUGAGGGGUCGGCAAAUGAUGGGGAAAAGAUAACUACAAUGGAAGAAUGUUAUGCUUCUGAUGCAUUUGCGGGACGUGUUGACACUGAUAAUGUGGGGUGUGUCAGAGAGGAUGACAUAUAUGAAGACGGUGAGAUUUGAGAACCAUUGAUGCAGUCAAUUGCAGAAGACCCCAAUGCUGAGGGGAUGGAUUCUGGAAAAAAUAAUGAAUCUUCAAGUAAAAAUGUUCAAAAUGUCGCUGUCUUCAGACCUGUAACGGGUAGGUCGCUGCCUUCAAGAAGUGGAAGAGAGAGGUAUUCUUACAUGGAGGAGGAGAAAUUCCAUCUACAAAGGAAUAUGUGAUUUUUUUUAUUGCUGUUUUUUUUUUAUAAUGCUGCUCAACUCUUGACUUUUAUUACUGUGCUUUUUCCAGAGAUGAAAUCUAUGGUUAUGGUCCCAAAUUUGCUCGAGAUAGGUUUCAGGACCGUUCAUUUGGUAGGUCAAGGGGGGACUUCAUGCAUGGAAGAGAUAGGGGCUGGGGAUGGGGCCGGGGAUGGUAUUCUGGGCGUGAUUUUGAAUGCUAUGGAGGUGCAGCUGAUUAUCUCUUUAGACAUAAACAUACAACUCCUGCUUGGGAGUCUGCAAAUGAAUGCAAUGACUAUGAUGGUGCUGCCUUUGGUACUAAUAGGAGAAGAAGCCAUUAAAUGAUGACUUGCCUUCAUUACGGCAUCCACCUGCACGUCGACAGUCCCCAGAGGAAGAGAAGAUGGGGACUCAAAUGCUUCGUAGAGCUCCCAGGAAUAUCAGCCCAAGAAGCUGCACCGGUGAAGAUGGUUUUGCGUAUGUUGUGUUCGUCAUAGUGAGAAGUUUAAUAGAUACUUUCCAGCUGAUAGUCACCAGCAGUCUAUGUACGAUGGACCUGAUAGUCAUUUCGCUCAGGGUGAUACAGAGUUUACUGCGAUGCUGAGAAGCUGUUUCCCUCGAAUGUGGUCGAAAUCUCCUGUUAGAUCCCAUACUUGGUCCCUUCCUCCCAGGAGACUGACAGAAGGAUUGAAUGGUCGUCAAGAUUUAUCUCAGCACAGGUCUCCGACUAUGUACAGGGAAGAUAGAAUGAGGUCUUCUUCACAGACUUCUUUUACUGAAGAAACAGUAGCCCCUCAAAGGUGUGACCCUCCAUCUUAUACUGCUUGCCAUCUGAAUGAUAUGAAGGAUGUGGAUGGUGUACAGGAGUACGGGAAUCCGAGGUUUCUUUCUAGCAGAAGAAGUCCACUUGAUCAGGUAUUUACUAGAACCAAUAGGCCGAGAGUUGAGAUUUCAGAUCAUCAUGAGAGGGCUGAUGGUGUUGGGUACAUUGAUGGGCCGAUACACACUGGUAGUUUUCCUGAGCAUCACAGUGGCGAAAGAAGUAAGUAUGGCGAGAGUGUCACGACCCGAUUUCUCAAGUCAUGAUGGCACCUACUAUAACCGGCCACCAGCAGGUAAGCCAACCCGUAACCCGGAACAACAAGUAAUGGGUCUGAGGGUAGAAACUAAACAAGAGUAGGCAAAUAACAAUAUAAACAGGCAAAAUCAAACCAAAAACAUAUAUACAAAUAAAGAUCCCUCCCAGAACCUGGAAGUCACUAGUACAGAGCUAGUGACAAAAUGAGUACAAGUCCCAAAAGUGGACAACAGAGGCUGGACUGUCUCGAAAGGUAAAAGACAAGUCUAUAUAAACAGAUGGAGACUGAAAUAGUACAAAACACCAAGUGCUCACCCCCGUCUCCGGAUCAGUCUGCUCCAAGCUCGAUCAACGUUGGCUACUAGUGCCCGGACCUGCAUCACGAAACAGAUGCAGAGCGUAGCAUAAGUACCAAAAUCACAGGUACCCAGUAGGCAUCAUAGGCCGACUGAACUUGAAAAGUAAAGGCAGUAUGAAAAGAAGGAAUAAUACAAAUAGAGGUCAAGAACGGAAAUCUAACUAACAAUGGAAUGCACAUGAGUGUACAAAGAACUAAUUGAAGUAAUCUAUAAGCUAACUACACCUAACUGGGCCCCCAUAAGCCCAGAAGGUACACUCGUGCGCAAGUUAAAUAAUGGGCAAUAGAGGUCGGAACUCUAACCGGAUGCUUUAUAUAAGUAUCUGGGCAAUAGAGGCCGGACCUUAAACCGGAUGCUCUAUAAGUAUCUAGGCAAUAGCGGUCGGAACUCUAAUUCAAGUAUCUGAGGCCGGAACUCUAACUGGAUGCUCUAUAUAAGUAUCUGGGUAAUAGAGGCCGGAACUCUAACCGGAUGCUCUAUAAAGGUGCCAAUGUAGCUGCUGAAAGAGUCCUAAUCGAUCCACACUCAUAAAUAUCUGCGAAACGCCGUCCACACAUAGCCAAUCAAUGAAAGUCCUUGGAACCAAAUUCAAAUCGCGAAGUAGAACUAGUGUUGCUGAUGUAACUCGUGAAGCCGUAACAUCGGGGAAAAUAAGGAUAACUAUAGUCGGAGAAAGAGUAUCGCCUAACUAAGGCCCAAACUAUCAGACUCAAGUCUGCUACACUAGUCUACAUGGAUCUAAGUCGGCCGAGCAACGUCGGGGUAAAACUAAGGCCUAUUGAUUCCGAAUCAUGCAUUUCUAAGGCAAGCCCUAGUCAAACCUAAAGCACUCCACAUAGCGAGGAGGGUCAAUUAAUAACACAAAGCAUGCUCACAGUUACCCGAUAAUUCUCAAAAUAGGUCGAAAACAUGAUUUCCAAACACCUAUGCAUUAUUCAAUAACAACCCAACCCAAAUCCCAACUAAUCAACAUGCAUCCACAUUCUCAAGCUCAAUCUAGGAGAGGGAAACUGUAGCCUACCUGUAGGCCGAUCAUACGCGCUCCAAAAUCACUUCUCCGGAGCUUUCCCUUUCCGAACAUCCUCGAAACGCUGCCCCGCUAUAAAAAAUAGGGUCACAACGUUAUUACGGUCGUUUAGACACCAAAAUCACAACAAACAGAGACGGACCAAUUUUGGGGUCAAAAUGGGAAAAGUGGGACCCGCGCUGGAAAUUCCGGAAUUAACCCAAAAGUGGGACCUAACCAGUUCCCCCAGCUCAUGUCCCAAAAUGGGACACAAUUCGGGGCUCGGGAACAACACAAUAUCAACAUGCAACUAAAACCCAAAUUUUCUCAAAAACUAGAAAUGGGACAGCAGUUGAAUCAGUGUAUUUACCAGAAACUGGAGGUCUACAGUAAAAUGCGAUAAUACCACGACGUUCUCCUCGAAAAAACCACUCAAGAUAGCCUCAAAAAUCACUGAAAUUGGACCUAGAAAGGCUGAGAAAAAUAGUCUCAAAAUCUUCCAAAAUCAAGCUCACAAAAAGGGUCGUGGCAGCAGGUAUUUUACGAAAAUUACCUCAAACGGGGACCCAAAUCACUAUCUGAGCUCACUAACGCGUUGUCCUCGUAAAAUCUCACAACUUUUCCUUUUGAAUCGCCCAAAUUGAUUGAGAGAUGAGAGAGUUAUGAGGGUUUAAGUUUGGGGAAAAGUUGCUGGUUUUUCUGCAUCUUAUAGCAGAUUUUCUGCACUUUUCCCAAAAACUAAAAAUUCCGACGGGGUGCUCCGAUCUCGUUCGGAACCUCGUGCAUGCAAACGAGAUAUGCAACCAUACCAAAUUUGACAUUUCAGACUCAACGGCGCAGUCAAAAUUUCCAUCAGAGGUCAUCUCGAUAAAAAGUGGGUCCCACUUCCAAAUGCCAAUUUAAGUCAAAAACCACAAAAGAGCUCAGAAAAAUAUCAAAAACCUCCAGACACAAAAGAAGAGUCAAUCUAGACCAAACUUGACAUUCCGGAGCUAACCGCGCUGACGAAAUUUUCAUCUGAGCGCAUUUGCCAAGAAUGUUGACCAAAGUCAACCUUAAGCCAAAUUUCAAAGGCUAAAACGCCUAAUGAUCCAAACUCACAUCGAAGGCCUCGAUACUCGUGCCAACUAUGCUACUAGCCUAAUUUGGCCAUUUCGGAGCUGAUGGAACCAUCAAAAUUCUAUUCUGAGGUCGUCUUCUUGAACUUUUGAUCGAAAAGGAUCGUUCAAGAUUCAUAAGCUCCAAAACACUAAAACUCGCACCAUAACCAAACGAACGACCAGGUGACCGAACUGUCAGUCCCAGAAAGUCAUAAAUGACUUGAGAUCGCUACAGGAAUGCUCUAAAUGACACACAGAAGGCAAGAUACAGAAAUGACCAGGAGGGUCAUUACAGAGAGGCAAGGAGGACCUAGGCAAAUGAGAAAUGUCAAAGAGCAAGAAGGUGGUAAUCUUAGACUGAGGCAUGAAGAAGAAUUUGAUGGCUUCAGAUUGAAGAAAAGAAGAUUUUGAGUUGAUAGCUCACUGAACUUGUAAUAUUAGCAAUUACCAUGGGUAGGAGCAACAUACUCUUGUAUCAUAGAAGUAGACAGAUUUCUGAACCCAUCUAGAUGGAUGAUAGUGGUCGAAGAGAAAGAACGCGACUUAGACACAAAAUAUCUCUUUAUUGAAAGCACUUUUUGGCUUAAUAGCUCAUCAAAGCUUGAAUUUAUUGGGAACUAUGCAUUUAUACAUGUUUUUGCUUCAAUAAAAUAACUUCCUUAGUUUAAGUUGCUAAUGUGCAUGCUGGCUUUGUGUAUUGUUAUUAUCUAUGUUUUUUUCACUCAUUUUUUGGUCAUUUAAUACUCUUUUUGCUGUCUAAGAACAGAGAAAAAAGUUCUCAUAUGUUUCCUACAUCUAUAUAUUGUGUGCUAUUUCUGGGGUGUUAUAUAUGUGUGCUAUUUAAUUGUUCCUUUUUUUGGGGUGUUUUUGACGUUUUUUUGGGUAACGAUUUUUGUUAUUAUUAUUCUUGGAUUUUCAAACUAAUCAAAAAAAAUAUCUACCACUUCAGAAAUCACCCCCUUUUUUUAAUUAGCUUUCUUAAAUUAACUUGAUAAUAAAUUUAGGAGCAAUCUUUUCUUCUAGAUUCUUUACCUAUGCAUAAUUGUUAACAUUAUAAAUUCUUUAUUAGAAUGAUAAAUAAUAUUUGUAUAAAAUAAGUUCGACUCUAUCCUCGUUGCUCACCUCAUUGACAUACCUCAUUGUUUAUAAUAAGUUUGAAUAUUUUCAAACUCAAUAAUUUUAUUUGUUUUUACUUGCUUGAGUCAAUGUUUGUGACAUGAACACUCGGGACAUGUCAAUUACGAAAUCUUGCAAGAUAAACUAAUCAAUUUAAAAGUUUUGUCUAACUUUGAGUGCAAUAAAUAAAAAUGUCAAGUUUGUGUUGAAUCUAAGUAUGCUAAGCAUAUUCUUAUAAAUUUGUUGAAAGGAAUUUUAACCCCUUGAGUUGAUUUACACUGACAUUAGUGAUAUGAAGUCAACACCAUCUCGUGGUGGGAAAAUGUAUCUCAUAAAUUUUAUUGACAAUUGCAUUAGAUACGGUUAUGUCUAUUUGCUGAAUAGUAAGGAUGCAGCAAUAGGAACUUCUAGGCAAUAUAAUUUUGAAGUUGAAAAUCAAUUGGGAAAAAGAUAAAAAUUGAUAGGGAUGGAGAGUAUAAAUCUCAUUUUGCAAUAAUAUGUUCGGAAAGUGGGAUUAUCCAUCAAACUACUGCCAUAUUAACCUCAAUCUAAUGGAGUUGCAGAACGAAAAAAAAA